GCCACAGUAGCUCAGUUGGCAGAGCAAUUGAUUCGUAAUCAAUAGGUCGGCGGUUCGAUCCCGCCCUGUGGCU
rnacentral:tRNA from 1 species